UAGGGAAUCUUCCGCAAUGGGCGAAAGCCUGCCGGAGCAACGCCGCGUGAGUGAUGAAGGUCUUCGGAUCGUAAAACUCUGUUAUUAGGGAAGAACAAAUGUGUAAGUAACUAUGCACGUCUUGACGGUACCUAAUCAGAAAGCCACGGCUAACUACGUGCCAGCAGCCGCGGUAAUACGUAGGUGGCAAGCGUUAUCCGGAAUUAUUGGGCGUAAAGCGCGCGUAGGCGGUUUUUUAAGUCUGAUGUGAAAGCCCACGGCUCAACCGUGGAGGGUCAUUGGAAACUGGAAAACUUGAGUGCAGAAGAGGAAAGUGGAAUUCCAAGUGUAGCGGUGAAAUGCGCAGAGAUAUGGAGGAACAACAGUGGCGAAGGCGACUUUCUGGUCUGUAACUGACGCUGAUGUGCGAAAGCGGGGGGAUCAAACAGG
rnacentral:rRNA from 1 species